rnacentral:tRNA from 1 species
UCAGGAUAGCUCAGCUGGUAG